rfam:Musa acuminata subsp. malaccensis Doubled-haploid Pahang (DH-Pahang) genomic chromosome, chr4
AUACUUUUCUCGGCCUUUUGGCUAAGAUCAAGUGUAGUAUCUGUUCUUAUCAGUUUAAUAUCUAAUAUGUGGGUCAUUGAUCCACUAUGAUAUUAAAUUAAUUUAUUGUGGGGGAGGGCUCAUCACAUUGGCUUGCCAUUGGGGACCUCCCGCGUAACCUGUGCGUCGCACUAUAGCACUGACUUGGCGCACCCCGA